CCGGCGCACGGGUGCGUAACGCGUAUGCAACCUACCUUUAACAGGGGGAUAACACUGAGAAAUUGGUACUAAUACCCCAUAAUAUCAUAGAAGGCAUCUUUUAUGGUUGAAAAUUCCGAUGGUUAGAGAUGGGCAUGCGUUGUAUUAGCUAGUUGGUGGGGUAACGGCCCACCAAGGCGACGAUCAGUAGCCGGACUGAGAGGUUGACCGGCCACAUUGGGACUGAGAUACGGCCCAG
rnacentral:rRNA from 1 species